AGAAGCGGGCGAAUUGGGCACCGGUGGCCGCUGCGGGCAGUUUGAAUUAGACUCUGGGCUCCAGCCCGCGGAAGCCGCGCCAGAACUGUACUCUCCGAGAGGUUGUUUUCCCGUCCCCGAGAGCAAGUUUAUUUACAAAUGUUGGAGUAAUAAAGAAGGCAGAACAAAAUGAGCUGGGCUUUGGAAGAAUGGAAAGAAGGCCUGCCUACAAGAGCUCUUCAGAAAAUUCAAGAGCUUGAAGGACAGCUUGACAAACUGAAGAAGGAAAAGCAGCAAAGGCAGUUUCAGCUUGACAGUCUGGAGGCUGCGCUGCAGAAGCAAAAACAGAAGGUUGAAAAUGAAAAAACCGAGGGUACAAACCUGAAAAGGGAGAAUCAAAGAUUGAUGGAAAUAUGUGAAAGUCUGGAGAAAACUAAGCAGAAGAUUUCUCAUGAACUUCAAGUAAAGGAGUCACAAGUGAAUUUCCAGGAAGGACAACUGAAUUCAGGCAAAAAACAAAUAGAAAAACUGGAACAGGAACUUAAAAGGUAAUAUUUUGGGAUGGUAUUUAUAGGGAUGAUGUUUGUAUGUAUUAAUCAGAUGCGUUUGUCUUUUCCUUUAACAAUAUAAUUAUUAUACUUUGCAAUUUUUUUUCCCGGUAGAAUAAGUAAUGAUUCGGUCUCUGUACCGUAACUUGAAAGAGUGGAAGA
rnacentral:sRNA from 1 species